rnacentral:lncRNA from 1 species
CGGCACCGGUACCUCCGGCUUCAUCACCUUCACCUUCACCUCCACCUGCACCGGCUGUAUCACCCAUAUCUCCACCUUCAACAGCUCCUACACCUGCAGGUUCACCAAGCCUGUCACCGCCUUCUUCGGCUCCUACACCUGCAGGUUCACCAAACCUGUCACCGCCUUCUUCGGCUCCUACACCUGCAGGUUCACCAAGCCUGUCACCGCCUUCUUCGGCUCCUACACCUGCAGGUUCACCUAGCUUGUCACCGCCUUCUUCGGCUCCUACACCUGCAGGUUCACCUAGCUUGUCACCGCCUUCUUCGGCUCCUACACCUGCAGCAGCAGGCUCACCUAGCUCGUCAUCACCUUCUUCAGCGCCCACAUCAUCGCCACCUUCAACCACUGCACCGGGAUCGCCGGGACCGGCCGGUGCGAACUCAC